rnacentral:rRNA from 1 species
UAGUAACGGCGAGUGAAGCGGCAAUAGCUCAAAUUUGAAAGCUGGCCUUUGGUCCGCAUUGUAAUUUGUAGAGGAUGCUUUUAGGCAGCCGCCGGUCUAAGUUCCUUGGAACAGGACGUCAUAGAGGGUGAGAAUCCCGUAUGUGACCGGCUCAGGCACCUUCUGUAAAGCUCCUUCGACGAGUCGAGUUGUUUGGGAAUGCAGCUCUAAAUGGGAGGUAAAUUUCUUCUAAAGCUAAAUACUGGCGAGAGACCGAUAGCGCACAAGUAGAGUGAUCGAAAGAUGAAAAGUACUUUGGAAAGAGAGUUAAAAAGCACGUGAAAUUGUUGAAAGGGAAGCGCUUGCAAUCAGACUUGGCCUCGGUUGUUCAACCGGUCUUUUGACCGGCCUAUUCAAUCGGGGGCAGGCCAGCAUCAGUUUCGGCGGCCGGAUAAAGGCCUUGGGAAUGUGGCCUCUCCUUCGGGGGAGGUGUUAUAGCCCAGGGUGUAAUACGGUCAGCUGGGACUGAGGUCCGCGCUUCGGCUAGGAUGCUGGCGUAAUGGUUGUAAGCGGCCCGUCUUGAAACACGGACCAAGGAGUCUAACAUCUAUGCGAG